GGGCUGUCAAAUCAUCGAAGACUGUUAAGUCAUUAAAAUUAAUCCUUGUCCUUGGCAGGAUAAUGCCCCAGGACGACCGUACCACAUGUCCCUGGCAGGGCAACAGUCCAUAGUGGUUGUAUAACAUUCAGAUGGGUUGGCUGACUAUAUGUCGGUAUUCGACUGUCGGGAUGUCGGGUGGUGACUCAAAGACACCGUUGGCUGAUCUGGUGCCUUAUGGAAGUCAGACGUUGGCUGCCACCCCCGAUAGUGAGUCGAUGAUGUGGGUUCGAUCGUUCGGCC
rnacentral:lncRNA from 1 species